rnacentral:rRNA from 1 species
AACGAACGCUGGCGGCAGGCUUAACACAUGCAAGUCGAGCGCCCCGCAAGGGGAGCGGCAGACGGGUGAGUAACACGUGGGAACGUACCUUUUGCUACGGAAUAGCUCCGGGAAACUGGAAUUAAUACCGUAUGUGCCCUUCGGGGGAAAGAUUUAUCGGCAAAAGAUCGGCCCGCGUCUGAUUAGCUAGUUGGUGGGGUAAUGGCCUACCAAGGCGACGAUCAGUAGCUGGUCUGAGAGGAUGAUCAGCCACACUGGGACUGAGACACGGCCCAGACUCCUACGGGAGGCAGCAGUGGGGAAUAUUGGACAAUGGGCGCAAGCCUGAUCCAGCCAUGCCGCGUGAGUGAUGAAGGCCUUAGGGUUGUAAAGCUCUUUCGCUAGGGAAGAUAAUGACGGUACCUAGAGAAGAAGCCCCGGCUAACUUCGUGCCAGCAGCCGCCGUAAAAC